AGUGAACGCUGGCGGCGUGCUUAACACAUGCAAGUCGAACGAGAACGGGUUAUAGCUUGCUAUAAUUGUCAGCUAAGUGGCGCACGGGUGAGUAAUGUAUAGGUAAUAUGCCUCUUACUAAGGGCUAACAAUUGGAAACGAUUGCUAAUACCUUAUACUCCUUAUUAACCUAAGUUAAUAAGGGAAAGAUUUAUUGGUAAGAGAUUAGCCUGUAUUGUAUCAGUUAGUUGGUGGGGUAAUGGCUUAGCAAGACUAUGACACAUAACUGGAUUGAGAGGAUGAUCAGUCACACUGGAGCUGAGACACGGUCCAGACGCCUACGGGAGGCAGCAGUGGGGAAUAUUGCACAAUGGACGAAAGUCUGAAGCAGCAACGCCGCGUGGAGGAUGACACAUUUCGGUGCGUAAACUCCUUUUAUAUGAGAAGAUAAUGACGGUAUUAUAUGAAUAAGCACCGGCUAACUCCGUGCCAGCAGCCGCGGAAA
rnacentral:rRNA from 1 species